UUCUAUAUAAUUCUUCCACUAUUAUAAUCGUUAUUUCCUUCUCUACAAGUUGAUCGAAGCAAAAUACUCAAUUGCAAAGGUGAGUCGACAAAGCCGCUGCACUGGAGAACUCCACCGUGGUGAGUUGCUGUUUUUCAUUUUUUUUUUCGCCAACCGAUACCCCUUAACGUAUUUUUUCACUGGGAUCGAUGCAAAACUAGCCGAAAACAUCCGACCCGAGGUAAACCACUGCCGCGGGUGGCGGUACCGUUGCCGUCACUGGAGCAUGGCGGAGUAGCCAUGCCAGAAUUCUGG
rnacentral:lncRNA from 1 species